rnacentral:rRNA from 1 species
AGCGAACGCUGGCGGCAGGCUUAACACAUGCAAGUCGAACGGGCGUAGCAAUACGUCAGUGGCAGACGGGUGAGUAACGCGUGGGAACGUACCUUUUGGUUCGGAACAACCCAGGGAAACUUGGGCUAAUACCGGAUAAGCCCUUACGGGGAAAGAUUUAUCGCCGAAAGAUCGGCCCGCGUCUGAUUAGCUAGUUGGUGUGGUAACGGCGCACCAAGGCGACGAUCAGUAGCUGGUCUGAGAGGAUGAUCAGCCACAUUGGGACUGAGACACGGCCCAAACUCCUACGGGAGGCAGCAGUGGGGAAGUAUUGGACAAUGGGCGGCAAAGCCUGAUCCAGCCAUGCCGCGUGAGUGAUGAAGGCCCUAGGGUUGUAAAG